rnacentral:lncRNA from 1 species
CUGGAGAAGACUUUGAGGUGACCUAAUUGUGGCCUUCCAGCACUUGAAGGGAGCCUACUAGAAUGACAGACAUAAGCUUUUUAUGAGAGCAUGUAGUGACAUGACAAUGGGGGAUGGUUUAAAACUGAAAGAGAGUAGGCUUAGAUGACAUGUUAGGAAGAAAUUCCUAAUUGCUGGGGAGAAAUAGGUGAGGAACUGGAAGAGCCUGUCCAGAGAAGUUACAGAUGCCCAGUUCAAGGCCAGGUUGGAUGGGGCUCUGAGCAACCCAGACUAGUGGAAGGUGUCCCUGUCCAUGGCAGGUGGGUUGGAACUAGAUGAUCUCUAAGGGGUCUUCCAACCCAAGGCAUUCUGUGUUUCUAUGAUUCUCCCUUCCUUUAGACACUGCAGCAACUGCUCUUUUGAAUCACUUGUAGGGAUGGACCUGCAGGAAGCAGGUCCCCUCAAGUAUGUCUAACUUACCCUGCAUCUCUCCUCUACGGAACAAAGCCAGUUUCAGGCUAGGGCUCAUGCAGUGCUGUAGAGCCACAGGACCAAUGGAACUCCAUAGAACAGGAUCACUGCGUGUACAAAAAAAUAGGCUUUUGAAGAAAGGAAAUAAUCAAGAACAGAUAAGGAAUAUAUUCCAGGGGAAGCCUUAAGACGUGGGCAGCCUUGACUCCUCAGAAGGGAAGGGAGAUUUGCUGCUUAGCUAAGGUGCAAUCCAAGACAUCCGACUACAUCCCAGCAGGAUCACUAAGGCUCUGCGUCACCUUGGGAAGCUAAACAUCUCCAGUAUAACCUUGGCCCUAUUAAAAUAAACAGGCAGAAUUAUUCCCA